UGUUCUGUGGCUUAGUUGGUUCAAGCACCGGUCCAGCAAAUAUGGAAUCGUGGGUUCGAAUCCCACCAGAACGC
rfam:Aedes albopictus isolate Foshan contig4969, whole genome shotgun sequence.